ensembl:lncRNA
AAAAAAUAAAGAUAUAAUGAAAAGUAAUUAAUAAAAAUUAAAUAUUUAAACAUUCCCACAAAUGUGCAAUGAACGUGCAAAAAUUCUCUUUAUUAGUUGUUGCUGUUUCUUUCUUUCUUUCUUUCUUUUUUUUGAAAAAUAACGACGUCUCUGAGGCGCGAAUUCCGACAGCGAGAGGAACGGCCGGAUACAGGAGACGGGAAGAAACAAGCCGAUUAUGUUCGCUUUAAUUAAGUGGUUGGAAGAUGUAAAAUUCUCAAUUCUGCCAACUGAACAUAUACGAGAUUUUAAUGAGGAUGAAUAAUCAGCCGGCAUGGAGGAAACGGACCUUUAUUUGGUGGAGUGGCGACAAGAAGCCAAAAGGCGGGUGGCCGGUCUAUGAAGCCUCCAUCAUCAAGCUAGCAGAAAUCCCACCUCUCCUUCUGGCUACAGAGUACUUACCAAGCCCAUGAAAUCGAAUGCAGAUCUUCCUGAUGUGAGAUUUACAUAAAUAUGUCAAAGUCUCAACCUCAUGCUGCCCUCCCCCAUCCUCCUAAACCUGUGGAUACAAAUGCAGAUUUCCUUAAUGUUCAAUGGUGCGUGUUCUUCUAAUGGCCGCCUUCCCACUGGAGGUUUUGAUCCACAGCAAUUUAAAAGG